GACGAACGCUGGCGGCGUGCUUAACACAUGCAAGUCGAGCGGAAAGGCUCCUUCGGGGGUACUCGAGCGGCGAACGGGUGAGUAACACGUGAGUAAUCUGCCCUUGGCUUUGGGAUAAGCCCCGGAAACGGGGUCUAAUACCGGAUACGACGCACUCUCGCAUGGGAUGUGUGUGGAAAGUUUUUUCGGCCAGGGAUGUGCUCGCGGCCUAUCAGCUUGUUGGUGGGGUAAUGGCCUACCAAGGCUUCGACGGGUAGCCGGCCUGAGAGGGUGACCGGCCACACUGGGACUGAGACACGGCCCAGACUCCUACGGGAGGCAGCAGUGGGGAAUAUUGGACAAUGGGCGAAGCCUGAUCCAGCAACGCCGCGUGAGGGAUGACGGCCU
rnacentral:rRNA from 1 species